UAAAUUUGAUAAUUUAACUGAAUUUGAUCUUUACUCUAAAUGAGUUAUCAAAUGGAAAGUUUGGAAUUCUAAAUAGAAUUAGAUAUUUUUAUUCUUAAGUAUUUAUUAAAGAGAUUUUUUUAUGUGUUAUAGUUUAAUAUUUAAGUAUAGGUUUAUUUUUAAGUAAUUUCAGUUAAUUUUACAUAAUCCAUCUUAUAAAUUAUCAAACCCCC
rnacentral:misc_RNA from 1 species